rnacentral:rRNA from 1 species
UACGUAGGCAGCGAGCGUUGUUCGGAGUUACUGGGCGUAAAGAGUGCGUAGGCGGUUUUCUAAGUUUGGAUGUGAAAUCUCCCGGCUUAACUGGGAGGGUGCGCCGAAAACUGGAAGGCUUGAGUAUGGGAGAGGUAAGCGGAAUUCUGGUGUAGCGGUGAAAUGACGUAGAUAUCAGGAGGAACACCUGCGGUGUAGACGGCUUACUGGACCAUAACUGACGCUGAGGCACGAAAGCGUGGGUAGCAAACAGG